rnacentral:rRNA from 1 species
ACUCAAAUGAAUAGACGGGGGCCCGCACAAGCGGAGGAACAUGUGGUUUAAUUCGAUGAUACGCGAGGAACCUUACCUGGGCUAGAAAAAGAUUGACCGGCUUGGAAACAGGCUUUCCCUUCGGGGCAAUCUAUUAGGUGCUGCAUGGUUGUCGUCAGCUCGUGCCGUGAGGUGUCGGGUUAAGUCCCAUAACGAGCGCAACCCUCAUUGUUAGUUACCAUCAAGUAAAGUUGGGGACUCUAACGAGACUGCCGGCGUAAGCCGUGAGGAAGGUGGGGAUGACGUCAAAUCAGCACGGCCUUUAUGUCCAGGGCUACACACGUGUUACAAUGGCCAAUACAGAGGGCAGCAAUACCGUAAGGUGGAGCAAAUCCUAAAAGUUGGUCUUAGUUCGGAUCGGAGUCUGCAACUCGACUCCGUGAAGCUGGAUUCGCUAGUAAUCGCAGAUCAGCCAUGCUGCGGUGAAUACGUUCCCGGGCCUUGCACACACCGCCCGU